AACGCACCUUGCGCUUCUUGGUAUUCCAAGGAGCAUGCCUGUUUGAGUGUCAUGAAGCUCUCAGCCCCUCGCUUUUUUCUCAUCAGAAAGGCCUCGGGUUGGACUUUGGGGGCUUGCCGAGGGCUCAGCCCUCUGCUCCCCUUGAAAUGCAUUAGCUGGGUAGGUCGCUUCCGCGGUCAAUUGGCGUGAUAGUGUUAUCUGCGUCAAUGUUCGCCGUCUUAGGACGGCGGCUGCGAGGCUUCCUCGACUGGCUUCUAACCGUCCUCACGGACAAACCGACUCUUUUGACAUCUGGCCUCAAAUCAGGUAGGACUACCCGCUGAACUUAA
rnacentral:misc_RNA from 1 species